rnacentral:lncRNA from 1 species
GUUCAUCUGAUCAUCUGUGAAUCCAGGUGUUCAGAGCCUCCUGAUAUGUUAUUCAGGUAGUGUCCAGCUGUGUGUGUGGGUUUGUGUGUAUAUGUGCUGCAUGUGUGUACAUGGAUGUACACACAGCUAUACAGACAGUGUGUAUAUACAUAUGUAUACAUCUAUGUGUAUAUAUACAGAGAACUGAUUCUAUUUAUUCCUUCUGCCUCCUAAUCCAAAUAUGGAGUUUUGUAUAUUUUGGGUGGAAGAAGACAUAGGAGGGGAUAUGUUGUCACUUAAAACUUGUCUAGUGUAUGGAUUGGACCAAAUACUAGAAGAGGACCAGAGUUCAGUUCCCAGCACCCUCGUCGGGCAACUCAAAACCACCUGUAACUCCAGCUCCAAAGGAUCCAAUGCCCUCUUCUGGCCUCCAAAGGCACCUGACCAUGUGUGGCAUACAUACACUUAAAUAAAAGUAAAUUUUUAAAG